CCUUCUUCUGUGGUGUUCUCUGUUUUGGGUGUAAAUACAGGCUCAACACUCGAUGAGCUUUGUACGAUCUUUUUGAUGGGGAUCGUCUCAAGCUCUACAGUUCGUCUUGUCAACUUUGUCAGAAGGCAUUUAAUAAGAAAGGCCGAGCUGAUGAGUAGUAGAUAAGAAGACUCGAGUUUUUCUUUUUCUUUUUUUUGUAAAGGUGAGACUGUAUUCAACUUCAAAUCAAGUUAUACAAGAGGCUUCGGUGUCAAAACUACACUCGUAAUGACAACAUGUCAAAGCGAGUAGAAGGAAGCCGAAAGAAAAACGAGGAAAAUCACACAACAAAGAGGACCAAAAACAAGCAGGAACAAAACGGCCUAAAACAACAGGCAAAAAGCACCCCGCACACGAACGGCAACUAUGGCAGCAACAAGACCGGAAGACGCAGGAGCCCGCGACCGCAAGACCGCAUCCGCCACUCCAAGAAAGCAAAUCAGCCAAACGCCAAAAGGGAGGAGCCACCAACGAGAACCGCAGCGGCCCAGCGCAGCCCGAAUCAGCCAACCGCGUCCACCGUGCAAAGAGGCCACGCGCAGGGAGAGAAUACUUGAGUUGUUGAAAGCCAAAGAAGAUGUCCCAGACUCCCAGUAUUUAUAGAGAAAAUGUUAAGGAGUUUCUGACCCCACGCCGCGAUUAU
rnacentral:lncRNA from 1 species